rnacentral:tRNA from 1 species
GGCUCCGUAGCUUGGAGGAUAAAAGCGCCUGUCUUACGAAUUGGUAGUCGUAGGUUCGAUUCCCACUGGAGACA